rnacentral:lncRNA from 10 species
AUGGGGACAACAAACUUCGCUUGCAAGGCCUGGAAGAAGAUCAGAAGUUGGACAGGAGAGGUCCGGCCGCGCGGACGUCACCUUAGCGCGCCACUGUCGGCUCCGGUGGGCUCGGGUGAGCUCGGGUGAACGCAGCGAGCGAGGGCAGAGGCCAGCAGAGGCGAGGAGUGGAUGCUGCAGGGCCGCAGGCCGGGCAGAGAAACGCAUACCGGGUCGCUCCCUGCUUCGCCGCCGCCUCCUGGCAGGGCCAGCGAAGCCAGUGCUCCAGCGCCCCCGUAACACCUCAAAGCGCACGGAGUCCGUGUUGGGGAACU